GAUCAUGGCUCAGGACGAACGCUGGCGGCGUGCUUAACACAUGCAAGUCGAACGGAAAGGCCCUGCUUUUGUGGGGUGCUCGAGUGGCGAACGGGUGAGUAACACGUGAGUAACCUGCCCUUGACUUUGGGAUAACUUCAGGAAACUAGGGGCGUAAUACCGGAUAGGAGCUCCUGCUGCAUGGUGGGGGUUGGAAAGUUUCGGCGGUUGGGGAGUGGACUCGCGGCUUAUCAGCUUGUUGGUGGGGUAGUGGCUU
rnacentral:rRNA from 1 species